rnacentral:rRNA from 1 species
GACGAACGCUGGCGGCGUGCUUAACACAUGCAAGUCGAACGGAAAGGCCCUGCUUUUGUGGGGUGCUCGAGUGGCGAACGGGUGAGUAACACGUGAGUAACCUGCCCUUGACCUUGGGAUAACUUCAGGAAACUGGGGCUAAUACCGGAUAGGAGCUCCUGCUGCAUGGUGGGGGUUGGAAAGUUUCGGCGGUUGGGGAUGGACUCGCGGCUUAUCAGCUUGUUGGUGGGGUAGUGGCUUACCAAGGCUUUGACGGGUAGCCGGCCUGAGAGGGUGACCGGCCACAUUGGGACUGAGAUACGGCCCAGACUCCUACGGGAGGCAGCAGUGGGGAAUAUUGCACAAUGGGCGGAAGCCUGAUGCAGCAACGCCGCGUGCGGGAUGACGGCCUUCGGGUUGUAAACCGCUUUCGCCUGUGACGAAGCGUGAGUGACGGUAAUGGGUAAAGAAGCACCGGCUAACUACGUG